AUGUCACCUGAGAGUCAAUGGGCAACGAUCAAAUUUCACCUUGAGCAGAUUCUUUUGUUUGCUUUUUAGUCACAAAUAGCUUGGCCCUAAGUGGUGGCUCCCAUUCUUGUAAGAUGCGUUUAUUCAUCGUGUAAUCACCAGUUCCCUGUAGUGGGGGCGUGGAUGGAGUGUCAGAGGCUCCUGCUGGUCUUUAGGGUGUCUGGCCUCCAGGAAUCCUAGAGGUAGUAUUUGGAGAGAUUUUUAAAAGCUUUGUUUCUGUGACCAGCAAAACCUGGAUUUGACACUGAGGUCAGCCCGUUUCAGCCAGUGACGUAACCUGUCUUUUUGCCCCAGUAAAUUGGGAACUACAGCACUCGAUGUUAGAGUUGUCGUGAAGAUUAAAGAAGGUGACGACUGGACAACUCCCAGCCCAAUACCUGAAACUGUACCAGCACCCAGUGAGCACUGCUAUUCCUGUGACUGCUGCACAUUUGCCUUAUCUCAGCAGUAUGCCUGUGUCACUUUUUUGGCACUCUUUUCUCAUGGGUACAUUCAGAGAAGAGGAAUGUUUGUUCACUGGUGAAGAGAACAUCCCGUGUACUAUCGUGUAGAAGUUGUAGUAGACGCUGUGGUCUUUCCAACAACAAACAAAGGCUGAGAGCUCCAAGGAGCUGUGAAUCACACCUCCGACUCCCCCCAGGGUACAGGAACGGGGUUCAGAAUGCUCUUCCCAAAGCUGCUGGGACAGGACCCAGGAGGUUCCGGAGGAUCAGGAGGUCCACCUGGGAGAAGAGCUGAUCGGCUAGUAGGAGAGCUGGAAAAGCAACAGACACCUACUUAGUCCCUUCCCUGG
rnacentral:lncRNA from 10 species